rnacentral:rRNA from 1 species
GACGAACGCUGGCGGCAUGCCUAAUACAUGCAAGUCGAGCGAACAGAUGAAGUGCUUGCACUUCUGACGUUAGCGGCGAACGGGUGAGUAACACGUAAGGAAUCUACCUAUAAGCGGGGGAUAACAUUCGGAAACGGGUGCUAAUACCGCAUAAUAUCUUCUUCCGCAUGGAAGAAGAUUGAAAGACGGCUCUGCUGUCACUUAUAGAUGACCUUGCGGUGCAUUAGUUAGUUGGUGGGGUAAUGGCCUACCAAGACGAUGAUGCAUAGCCGGCGUGGGAGGGUGAUCGGCCACAUUGGGACUGAGGCACGGCCCAAACUCCUACGGAAGGCAGCAGUAGGGAAUCUUCCGCAAUGGGCGAAAGCCUGACGGAGCAAUGCCGCGUGAGUGAAGAAGGCCUUCGGGUCGUAAAACUCUGUUAUAAGAGAAGAACAAAUUGUAGAGUAACUGCUACAGUCUUGACGGUAUCUUAUCAGAAAGCCACGGCUAACUACGUGCCAGCCGCCGCAGUAA